UGGACUGCGGAGGAUCAUUAACAAAACACCUCUGCGUAUCUUUACAUGUUGCUUCCCCGGGCUAGCUUCCGGGACGGGGGGGAGGGAGCAACUGUGAUCGGUCUGAAGAAAAACCUGUUUGCAUUAAAACUUUCAACAACGGAUCUCUUGGUUCUCCCAUCGAUGAAGAACGCAGCGAAAUGCGAUAAGUAGUGUGAAUUGCAGAAUUCAGUGAAUCAUCGAAUCUUUGAACGCACAUUGCGCCCUCUGGCAUUCCGGGGGGCAUGCCUGUUCGAGCGUCAUGCGCUUCUUCGAAGCCCCAGCUUGGUCUUGGAUCAGAACCCUCUGCCUGCAAUCAGUGGGCGGAUAUUCCGGCAGCGUGAUAAACACUCGUUCGCGAUUGCACGCCGGGAAGGUCCCGUUUGACCUCGGAUCAGGUAGGGAUACCCGAACGUUUUGAUCUCAAAUCAGGCGGGACUAUCCGCUGAACUUAAACAUAUCAAUAA
rnacentral:rRNA from 1 species